CUACGGGCGGCACCAGUGGGGAAUAUUGCACAAUGGAGGAAACUCUGAUGCAGCAACGCUGCGUGGAGGAUGACACUUUUCGGAGCGUAAACUCCUUUUAUAUAGGAAGAAGAUGACGGUACUAUAUGAAUAAGCGCCGGCUAACUCCGUGCCAGCAGCCGCGGUAAUACGGAGGGCGCAAGCGUUACUCGGAAUCACUGGGCGUAAAGAGCGUGUAGGCGGAUUAAAAAGUCAGAAGUGAAAUCCUAUAGCUUAACUAUAGAACUGCUUCUGAAACUCUUAAUCUAGAAUAUGGGAGAGGUAGAUGGAAUUUCUGGUGUAGGGGCAAAAUCCGUAGAGAUCAGAAGGAAUACCGAUUGCGAAGGCGAUCUACUAGAACAUUAUUGACGCUGAGACGCGAUAGCGUGGGGAGCAAACAGGAUUAGAUACCCCAGUAGUC
rnacentral:rRNA from 1 species